CUCACCCUACGGGAGGCAGCAGUAGGGAAUCUUCCACAAUGGACGAAAGUCUGAUGGAGCAACGCCGCGUGAGUGAAGAAGGGUUUCGGCUCGUAAAGCUCUGUUGGUAGUGAAGAAAGAUAGAGGUAGUAACUGGCCUUUAUUUGACGGUAAUUACUUAGAAAGUCACGGCUAACUACGUGCCAGCAGCCGCGGUAAUACGUAGGUGGCAAGAGUUGUACGGAUUUAUUGGGCGUAAAGCGAGUGCA
rnacentral:rRNA from 1 species